UCCGUAGGUGAACCUGCGGAAGGAUCAUUAAAAAAAAGGAUGUGCUCUGCGCAUAACUCCUCUCACACCCUCCUGCCCGUAAAAAGGCACGGGGGUUGAAUGAGUCCCUUAACCCUUUGUGAACUUUAUAUCUUAUGCUUCGGCAGCACGCCCUUCUCACCAAGGGUUGGUAAGGCUGCCGAUAGCCCAUUUUAAACUAUUUUAUUUCAAAAUCAUGAAGUCUGAUUACUGUUAAAUUUAAAAACAAGUUAAAACUUUCAGCAACGGAUCUCUUGGUUCUCGCAUCGAUGAAGAACGCAGCGAAACGCGAUAGGUAAUGUGAAUUGCAGAAUUCCGUGAAUCAUCGAAUCUUUGAACGCACAUUGCGCCUUCUGGUAUUCCGGUAGGCAUGCCUGUUUGAGCGUCAGCAAAACACCCUCAGUCUGAGUAUUUUUGUAUUCAGCACUGGUUUUGGGCAGCGGAUGCCGGUGGUUAUUACUUUCCACCUGCACCCUCCCUAAAAUUGCUGCACGACCGCAAGCCCCUUCUAGCCAGGUCAAUGGAGUGGUGUUACAAUCUUCCAGAAAGCCUGCUGGGUAAACUGGCUUUGGCGGGCGGUUAAUCCUAAUGGCC
rnacentral:rRNA from 1 species